AGAGUUUGAUCCUGGCUCAGAAUGAACGUUGGCGGCGUGGAUUAGGCAUGCAAGUCGAACGGGUCUGCCGCAAGGCAGAUUAGUGGCGCAAGGGUGAGUAAGGCGACGGUAACCAACCCCAUGGUUGGGCAUAGCCGCGGGAAACUGCGGGUAAUUCCCAGCGAUGUUGGCUUGAGGCAUCUUGAGCCAACCAAAGCUCU
rnacentral:rRNA from 1 species